rnacentral:lncRNA from 1 species
UAUAGAUAUACCUCAGUGUAUUUCAAGGCAGAUUAAAAUAAGUGCUAAGUAGCUACAAGUUUUGUGUGGUGACAACCAAUGAUACUGAUAGGUAAUUCUGCCUGGUGCAACCUGAGGAAGCUUCGGCCAGGAAAUGGCCUUUGGGAUUUGAGUCACUGGGAAUGGAUCAUGUGGGGCGUUCAGAUGGGCUUUCAUUUAUGGGUGGCACUGGGUUAUUAGUUGGACCAAACCAUGUUUCUUUGUGGGCCAGUCUGUCUUGGAUAGAGCUCUUUUCAUUUAAAGUGAUAGAAAAUCUACUUUAACCAACUUAAACAGUAAAGGGAAAGAUUUCCUAAAAGGGCAAUAUAUAAGCACAUGUUUCAGCAGCAGGCCCAGCUGGAUUCAGGCUUUUGGAUGCCACUGGGACCCAUUUUGUAGUUCUGGUUAUUCUCAAUACUAAUUUCAUUUUCAGCCCAGUAGCCAGCACCCCCUCUGGGGGGACAAGGUGUUGGACACUUCCAAAACUGCCUAGUUCUAGUUCAAAUUCAGUGAAAUGAAAGUCUAGCAUGUCUCCAUCUUUGCCUUCCCCACAACAGUCCUGACAUCUGAUAUAAUCACCUGGCCUUAGUUCCAUGGCUCUGCCUUGAAGAUUCCUGUGGGUGGGGAGGUGCUGCUAGGGGCUUCACCCAAAGACAAGGCACCAGAAUCCCCUGAAUUGAUGGAGGGAAGAGCUGGCACCUGGAAAAUAAAGAGGAGCUGCCAGCAGAGACAGUUAGCAGAGAGAUACUCCAAGUACUUACUUUUUUACCAUGAGACACCAGUCACACUCUGGGACCACAGCUGUACCCUAACUCACCAGCUGCAUGACCUUUUGCAAAGUUCAUCAUCUCUCCAUGCUUCAGUUUUCUCAUCUGCAGAAAAGAAAUAGUAGUAAGUCCAACAUCAUAGGGUUAGAGAAAAACCUAAUGAAUUUUUACAAAUCUUACCAGGCUGAAAUCGCCAGGUAGAGUCAGUGGAGCUGUCAUUAUGUAAUGACUUCCUUUCCCUGUGUUUUUAUAUUUAUUCAGUUAUUCUGUACGUUUCCAGUCCCCACUUGGCUAUCAUGGUGGCGGGAAGUCAUCCACCUCUCAAGAACACCUCAGUGUGAUUAAAACCAAAGUCCUGCUAGGGAUGGGGCUCUGGUCCAUGUUGCUCCCUGCCAUAAAGAUCACUAUACAUGAUGAGGGCCCUAGAAAUCUAGCUCAGGGUCGGCCAUGGAAACCCUAGCCACUCUGCAUUUGGUGUCAUUAGGGAAAACUAGGAGGAAAUCGUAGCACUUGGGCCAUUUGCAGAGGAACUUUGUGAUCUAAUCCAAAAUUUUGGAACAUUCUGUCAAAUACAAUCUGAACCAGAACCCAUUCCCAUGAGGAAACUACCCAAGUUGGCUAGCCUUUCUCUCAUCCCUUUCUCAGUGUGUGAAUUAGCAUGUUAGGAAGAGAGACACAGAGAGAGAGACUGAGAGAGAUUGAGAGAUUCAUAAAGGCUUAGGUAAGAAAAAUUUUUAAAAUGUGAUGCCAGUAGAUUAAAAUGACCUGGAAUACCCAUUAUUUCUGCAAUAACCAAUUCAAGGGCUUUAUGUUGGUGGUGGUGGUGGAAUGUGUCUUAUUUUAAUUGCAUCCCCUACUUUAACAGAGUUGGCUUGAGUUAUGCUCUAAAACCAGCCGAUCUCCUAAAUAUUGGAGUCAGCUGGAGCAGAGGUUCUCUAAGUGUGGUCCCAAUGCCAGCAGGUUCAGACUCAGAAUGGCUCUGAAUGCCCAUUCCCAGGACUUACCUAGAGUGGCAGUGGUAGUGGUCAUCUUCCAGGCCAGUUUUCUCAUUAGCCUAGAAGGUAAGAGGCAUUCUGACAAAGGACACUUUUGGAGUCACUGGCAUUUACCAGAAUGGGAGGGGGCCUCCCAGGGAGGUGCUUGAAAUCCUAUAAUUGGAAGAGUUCAGGUAAACCUGGUAGAUACUCUGGAACAGAAUUCUUAAAAGUAGCACCUGAUGGCUGUAUCCACACCACUCUAUUAUUUAUUGAUUCUUUUUGGAAAAAAUUUGCAUUAGAAUGCAAUUACCACCAUGAACUUGUGGCAAGGAACUAGAUUUGAACUCUAAAUAGGCCAUAUUGUCCAUAAUAUUUGCACCUGGUAAUUUAUAGAACAUCACCAUUCAAUAUUUUUGCUAUUAUGGAAAUAUCCUGUGUCUUUCCUGUCUAAUUCUGUAGCUUCAAGUACAUAAUAUUUUGGCAUAUAGAUCCUAUGACAAAAGAACUGAGUUUGUCACUUUGAUGUAUUACAUGGCCAAUGGCCACAAUAUUGGGUAACAUCAUUCUAGGACACAAAAGCAUAAAAUGGAAGCAUUUCCUCUAAAAACUGGAAAAACACAGGGAUGCCCCCUUUUACCUCUUUUAUUUAACAUAGUUCUUGAAACACUGGCCAGAGCAAUUAGACAGAUAAAAGAAAUUAAAGGGAUAUGGAUAGGUAAAUAAGAACUCAUUAGCACUAUUUGCUGACAAUAUAAUUGUAUACUUAGAAGACCCACCAAAUUCCAUCAGAAAACUGCUAGUAUUAGUAAAUGAAGUCAGAAAAGUAGCAGGAUACAAAAUGAACACUCACAAAUUAAAGGCAAUUCUGUAUAUUAGUAACAAAUCCUCUGAAAGGAAAAUGAGAAAAACUACCCAAUUUAGAAUAGUAUCAAAAUUAUAAUAAAAUACUUGGAAAUCAACUUAAUAAAAUAGGUGAAAGACCUCUACAAUGAAAACUAAAGAAUCCUAAGGGGAAAAAAUUUUUUUUAAAAA